rnacentral:rRNA from 1 species
GACGAACGCUGGCGGCGUGCUUAACACAUGCAAGUCGAACGAUGAAGCCGGAGCUUGCUCUGGUGAAUUAGUGGCGAACGGGUGAGUAACACGUGAGUAACCUGCCCUUGACUCUGGGAUAACUGCUAGAAAUGGUAGCUAAUACCGGAUACGACCCUCGGAGGCAUCUCCAAGGGGUGGAAAGAAUUUCGGUCAAGGAUGGACUCGCGGCCUAUCAGCUAGUUGGUGAGGUAACGGCUCACCAAGGCGACGACGGGUAGCCGGCCUGAGAGGGGGACCGGCCACACUGGGACUGAGACACGGCCCAGACUCCUACGGGAGGCAGCAGUGGGGAAUAUUGCACAAUGGGCGCAAGCCUGAUGCAGCAACGCCGCGUGAGGGAUGACGGCCUUCGGGUUGUAAACCUCUUUUAGUAGGGAAGAAGCGAAAGUGACGGUACCUGCAGAAAAAGCACCGGCUAACUACGUGCCAGUAGCCGCCGUAA